GCAGCAGGCGCGCAAAUUACCCACUCUCAAAACGAGGAGGUAGUGAAGAGAAAUAACGAUGUUAGUCUUUUAUAGGCUGACAAUCGGAAUGGGAACACUGUAAACAGGUUAUCGAUUAACAAUUGGAGGGCAAGUCUGGUGCCAGCAGCCGCGGUAAUUCCAGCUCCAAUAAGGAAAACUAAAGUUGCUGUGUUUAAAAAGCUCGUAGUUGAAUUUCGGGUAUUUGUUGCUAGCUGGUCUAACUGGCCAUGUUGGUUAACAGAUCCUCAUUUGCUGGACGGCUGGCGAUGAUCUUCAUCGAUUGUCGUCAGUUGCCAGCACGUUUACUUUGAGAAAAUUAGAGUGCUAAAAGCAGGCUCACGCCUAUAUAUAUUGCAUGGAAUAAUGAAAUAAGAUCUCGAUUUUAUUUCGUUGGUUUUAGUAAAUUGAGAUAAUGAUUAAUAGGAUCAGAGGGG
rnacentral:rRNA from 1 species